rnacentral:SRP_RNA from 1 species
GCCAGGCGUGGUGGCUCACGCCUGUAAUCCCAGCACCUUGGGAGGCUGAGGUGGGUGGAUCACCUGAGGUCAGGAGUUCGAGACCAGCCUGGCCAACAUGGUGAAACCCCGUCUCUA